rnacentral:rRNA from 1 species
UGGGGAAUAUUGCGCAAUGGGCGAAAGCCUGACGCAGCGACGCCGCGUGAGGGAUGAAGGUUUUCGGAUCGUAAACCUCUGUCAUAAGGGAAGAAACCGCACUGUGCUAAUCAGCAGUGCCUUGACGGUACCUUCAAAGGAAGCACCGGCUAACUCCGUGCCAGCAGCCGCGGUAAUACGGAGGGUGCAAGCGUUAAUCGGAAUUACUGGGCGUAAAGCGCACGUAGGCUGCUUUGUAAGUCAGGGGUGAAAUCCCACGGCUCAACCGUGGAACUGCCUUUGAUACUGCUUAGCUUGAAUCCGGGAGAGUGUGGCGGAAUUCCAGGUGUAGGAGUGAAAUCCGUAGAUAUCUGGAGAAACAUCAGUGGCGAAGGCGGCCACCUGGACCGGUAUUGACGCUGAGGUGCGAAAGCGUGGGGAGCAAACAGG